rnacentral:rRNA from 1 species
AUGGCCUCCGCCGCCGCCCCCGCCUCGGAGGCCGUCAAGGCGGCGAAGGUUCUGAUGGUCGGGGCUGGAGGCAUCGGGUGCGAGCUCCUCAAGACCCUCGCGCUCUCGGGCUUCAGCGACAUCCACGUCAUUGACUUGGACACAAUUGAGGUCAGCAAUCUGAACAGACAGUUUUUGUUUCGGAAGAGUCAUGUGGGACAGUCAAAAGCCCAUGUUGCCCGUGAUGCUAUUCUGAAAUUUAGGCCAAAUAUCAAUAUAGAAUCACACCAUGCAAAUGUUAAGGAUGCCCAGUUCAACGUUGACUUUUUCAAGCAGUUUAAUGUAGUUUUGAAUGGCCUUGAUAACUUGGAUGCUAGACGACAUGUGAAUCGCCUCUGCCUUGCUGCUGAAGUUCCUUUGGUUGAGAGUGGGACCACUGGGUUUCUCGGACAGGUUACCGUUCAUGUCAAGGGUAAAACAGAAUGCUAUGAAUGCCAACCUAAGCCUAUCCCAAAAUCAUAUCCAGUCUGCACAAUUACAAGCACUCCAUCAAAGUUUGUCCAUUGCAUUGUUUGGGCAAAGGAGCUUCUUUUUGCUAAGCUAUUUGGUGAUAAGAACCAAGAUAAUGACCUUAAUGUGCAUUCAAAAGAUGGCAGCAGUUCAAAGUUAGAUGUAUUUGAAAGGGAUGUUGACGAAGAUCUUGAUCAGUAUGCUCAGAGGAUUUAUGAUCAUGUAUUUGGUUAUAAUAUCGAAGUUGCCUUAGAGAAUGAAGAAACCUGGAAGAAUCGGAGAAGACCAAAUCCAGUAUACAUUAGAGACACAUUACCUGAAGCAGUAAAGCAAAAUGGUAGCUCGUGGGAUUGCAGUAAUGAUCAUGAAGAGCCUUCUGCUAUGGCAUCUUUAGGUCUUACAAAUCCUCAAGAGAUAUGGACUCUGGCUGAAAAUUCAAGAGUGCUUUUGGAGGCUUUUAAAUUGUUUUUUGAGAAAAGAGAGAAGGAAAUAGGGAACUUGGUUUUUGACAAGGAUGACCAGUUAGCAGUUGAGUUUGUUACUGCUGCGGCUAAUAUCAGAGCUCACUCUUUUGGUAUACCACUACAUAGCCUAUUUGAAGCUAAAGGUGUUGCUGGAAACAUAGUUCAUGCUGUGGCAACAACAAAUGCUAUAAUAGCUGGUCUCAUUGUUAUCGAAGCAAUCAAAGUUCUCCAGGAUGAUUACAAGAACUACAGAAUGACAUAUUGUCUUGAACAUCCUACAAAGAAGUUGCUCCUGAUGCCUGUAGAACCUUUUGAACCUAAUCCAUCAUGCUAUGUCUGCUCUGAGACCCCUCUUCUGCUGGAUGUUAACACUAAGGUCACAAAGCUUAAGGAGGUUAUCGACAAGAUUAUAAAAAGCAAACUUGGAAUGAACCUACCGUUGGUAAUGAUUGGCUCUACACUUGUUUUUGAGGAUGGCGAUGGCUUAGAGGAAGACGAGGCUGCAAACUAUGCUUUAAACCUUGAGAAGGUCUUGGCCGAACUGCCAGCUCCAGUUAUUAAUGGUACAAAGCUUACCGUUGAGGAUUUCCAGCAGGAGCUGUCAUGCAGCAUUAACAUCAAGCACAGGGAAGAGUUUGACGAGGAGAAAGAGCCUGACGGAAUGGUUUUAUCUGGAUGGUCAGCUCCGGUGGAGAAACAGAUUAAUAGUAAUGGGGAGAACAAAUCGGCAGCCUCUUCAUCCAGUGCGCGUGCCACUGAUGACACUGUUGAGGAUCCAUCUAAACCUGGGAUGAAGCGCAAGCUGGAUGAACUGUUGGAAACAAAGGAAAACUGUGAUGCAUCCAGUAGUGCUCAGGUUGUUGAAGACGACGAUGAUUGUACGAUGCUCGACGGGAACCCAGCGUUAAUCAAGAAAAAGAGAUUGCAAUAG